AGAGUUUGAUCCUGGCUCAGGACGAACGCUGGCGGCGUGCCUAAUACAUGCAAGUCGAACGAACUCUGGUAUUGAUUGGUGCUUGCAUCAUGAUUUACAUUUGAGUGAGUGGCGAACUGGUGAGUAACACGUGGGAAACCUGCCCAGAAGCGGGGGAUAACACCUGGAAACAGAUGCUAAUACCGCAUAACAACUUGGACCGCAUGGUCCGAGCUUGAAAGAUGGCUUCGGCUAUCACUUUUGGAUGGUCCCGCGGCGUAUUAGCUAGAUGGUGGGGUAACGGCUCACCAUGGCAAUGAUACGUAGCCGACCUGAGAGGGUAAUCGGCCACAUUGGGACUGAGACACGGCCCAAACUCCUACGGGAGGCAGCAGUAGGGAAUCUUCCACAAUGGACGAAAGUCUGAUGGAGCAACGCCGCGUGAGUGAAGAAGGGUUUCGGCUCGUAAAACUCUGUUGUUAAAGAAGAACAUAUCUGAGAGUAACUGUUCAGGUAUUGACGGUAUUUAACCAGAAAGCCACGGCUAACUACGUGCCAGCAGCCGCGGUAAUACGUAGGUGGCAAGCGUUGUCCGGAUUUAUUGGGCGUAAAGCGAGCGCAGGCGGUUUUUUAAGUCUGAUGUGAAAGCCUUCGGCUCAACCGAAGAAGUGCAUCGGAAACUGGGAAACUUGAGUGCAGAAGAGGACAGUGGAACUCCAUGUGUAGCGGUGAAAUGCGUAGAUAUAUGGAAGAACACCAGUGGCGAAGGCGGCUGUCUGGUCUGUAACUGACGCUGAGGCUCGAAAGUAUGGGUAGCAAACAGGAUUAGAUACCCUGGUAGUCCAUACCGUAAACGAUGAAUGCUAAGUGUUGGAGGGUUUCCGCCCUUCAGUGCUGCAGCUAACGCAUUAAGCAUUCCGCCUGGGGAGUACGGCCGCAAGGCUGAAACUCAAAGGAAUUGACGGGGGCCCGCACAAGCGGUGGAGCAUGUGGUUUAAUUCGAAGCUACGCGAAGAACCUUACCAGGUCUUGACAUACUAUGCAAAUCUAAGAGAUUAGACGUUCCCUUCGGGGACAUGGAUACAGGUGGUGCAUGGUUGUCGUCAGCUCGUGUCGUGAGAUGUUGGGUUAAGUCCCGCAACGAGCGCAACCCUUAUUAUCAGUUGCCAGCAUUAAGUUGGGCACUCUGGUGAGACUGCCGGUGACAAACCGGAGGAAGGUGGGGAUGACGUCAAAUCAUCAUGCCCCUUAUGACCUGGGCUACACACGUGCUACAAUGGAUGGUACAACGAGUUGCGAACUCGCGAGAGUAAGCUAAUCUCUUAAAGCCAUUCUCAGUUCGGAUUGUAGGCUGCAACUCGCCUACAUGAAGUCGGAAUCGCUAGUAAUCGCGGAUCAGCAUGCCGCGGUGAAUACGUUCCCGGGCCUUGUACACACCGCCCGUCACACCAUGAGAGUUUGUAACACCCAAAGUCGGUGGGGUAACCUUUUAGGAACCAGCCGCCUAAGGUGGGACAGAUGAUUAGGGUGAAGUCGUAACAAGGUAGCCGUAGGAGAACCUGCGGCUGGAUCACCUCCUU
rnacentral:rRNA from 3 species